GUCCAGUUUUCCCAGGAAUCCUUAGAUGCUAAGAUGGGGAUUCCUGGAAAUACUGUCU
rnacentral:pre_miRNA from 1 species